UCUUUCGAGGAUUUGAUCCUGGUCCAGGAUGAACGCUGGCGGCGUGGAUAAGGCAUGCAAGUCGAACGGUCGAGCGCACGUUGCGCUCGGUAGUGGCAAACGAGUUAGUAACGCCCUGGUACGUACCCCCGAGUCGGGCAUAAUUCCGCGAAAGCGGGACUAAUUCCCGAUGGUGUCGCCUUAGGCGACUAAAGGAGCGAUUCGCUCGGGGAGCGGCCUAGGUCCUAUCAGCUAGUUGGUGAGGUAAAAGCUCACCAAGGCUACGACGGGUAGGGGGGGUGAGAGCCCGAUCCCCAACGAGGAGACUGAGACACGGCUCCUACACCUACGGGUGGCAGCAGUCGAGAAUAUUCGACAAUGGGCGAAAGCCUGAUCGAGCGACGCCGCGUGCAGGAUGAAGGUCUUAGGAUUGUAAACUGCUUUUCUACGGGAAGAAGUGUGCGUAGCACACAGUUUGUUAGUUCGUCAGUUACGCUUCGCUCUAGUUUAUUAGUUGGUGAAACUAAUUAACUAGCAAACGAACAGCGAGCGGAGCGAGCGGAACUAGUCAACUAUGUGCUGCGCACAUUGACGGUACCGUGGGAAUAAGGGGCGGCAAACUUCGUGCCAGCAGCCGCGGUAAUACGAAGGCCCCGAGCGUUAUCCGGAUUCAUUGGGCGUAAAGGGCGCGUAGGAGGUUCGGUCCGUCUCUCGUGAAAUCUCGGAGCUCAACUCCGAACCCGCGGGGGAAACCGCCGAACUAGAGGGUGUUAGAGGCAGAUGGAACACACGGUGUAGGGGUGAAAUCCGUUGAUAUCGUGUGGAACACCAAAGGCGAAGGCAUUCUGCUGGGACACUCCUGACUCUGAGGCGCGAAAGCGUGGGGAGCAAAAAGGAUUAGAUAAAUCCCGUUCCGGCUCCAAAGAAACGGAACAAAGGGUGUCCCCUCCGACGGCGACGUCGGGGUGCGCAUUCAGCUAUAUCGGGGAAGGCCGUCUUGUCAGGCGGUUAAUCCCGAGGGAAGUUAUUCAAGCCUCACUUUCGACUCUUUAAUUAUAGAGAAAAGUGGAGCUUGUGUAACCCCGUAGAGACUAUGUAAGUAAGAAAAUAGAAAAUGACCAAGUCAUUUUUGUUGGAUCGAUGUAAGGAAAUUAUUCUGGGUUCUUUGUUGGGUGAUGGGUCCUUAAAGAUCUAUAAGCCCUACAAAAAUGCCCGAUUUUCCUUUCGACAUUCGGUACAUCAAAAAGAUUAUUUUUUCUGGAAAGUUGAAGAAUUAAAAGAAAUUUCCGGAGAGAAAUCUUUUUGGGAACAAAAACCGAAUAGUUUGGGAGGAGAUAUGUUGCGAUACCAAAGUUUAGCAUUAGAAUUGCUUACGGAACUGCAUCGGCUGACUUACGAGCAUAAUUGUCUCGUAAUACGUCGAAAAUGGCUGAACAUGAUGACGCCAUUAUCGCUUGCGAUUUGGUGGCUUGAUGAUGGUUCGCUUAUUGGCAAUGGAAAGCGAGGUGUGUUUUGUACCGACCCGUUUUCGUUUCAUGAACAAGAGAUUUUAUCGCAGUAUUUACUCAAGGUUUGGAAAGUAAAAACUGCGAUUGGAAAAAUUGUCCGCGAGCGGGAAGGAAAAAAAGUUGAGUACUAUCGGCUAUGGAUUCGUUCAAGCGAAGAAUUAAAAAAAUUUCUUCGGAUAAUCCUCCCCGAAAUACCAUCCGCAUCUACAUUGCCUAAAGUUCUUAUUCUUUACAAAGAUUCCCAAUUACAGCAACGCUGGGUUUCUGAAGUUGUUGAAGCAACGCAUUUUUCUCGAGAGAUUAUUGAAAGGUAUCUUGCUGAGAAAAAAGCGAAAUAUAAGCGAUUUCAGAAAAUGAUAUAGUCCGAUCCUCCGAGUAAUCGGAGCAUCUAAUAGGUCUAAAUCCCUAACGCUUAGGAAUUAGGAUUUAGAAAUUAGAAAUUGCAAUUUUGCCAAGCAAAAUUGUUGACCCUUGUAGUCCACGCCCUAAACGAUGCUGAUUAGCUGUCUCGAGUAUCGACCCUCGGGGUGGCGUAGCUAACGCGUUAAAUCAGCCGCCUGGGAAGUACGGCCGCAAGGCUAAAACUCAAAGGAAUAGACGGGGACUCGCACAAGCGGUGGAGCAUGUGGUUUAAUUCGACGGUAAGCGAAGAACCUUACCAGGGCUUGAAAUGCACUUGAAGACCGGCAGAAACGUCGGUCGUCUCUCAAGGACAAGUGCACAGGUGCUGCAUGGUUGUCGUCAGCUCGUAUCGUGAGACGUUCCCUUAAGUGGGGUAACGAGCGCAACCCCUCUCUGGUGUUAUAAGUGUCACCGGAAACCGCCCCCGUUUUUGCCCGCAAGCAAUGAAAUGCUUGUGUUCAAAAACGGGGGAGGAAGGCGGGGAUGACGUCAAAUCCGCAUGGCCCUCUGAUGCCCUGGGCCACACACGUGCUACAAUGGCCGUUACAAAGGGUUGCCAAGCCGCAAGGCGGAGCUAAUCCCAAAAACACGGCCCCAGUUCAGAUUGGAGGCUGCAACUCGCCUCCAUGAAGUUGGAAUCGCUAGUAAUCGUAGGUCAGCUACACUACGGUGAAUACGUUCUCGAGUCCUGUACUCACCGCCCGUCAAGCCAGCGGAGUCGGUAAUACCUGAAGCCCAGCACUUUGUUCGCAACGCAGUUGUUAACAAAGUGCUGGGUAAGGGUAGGAUCGAUGAUGAGGGCUAAGUCGUAACAAGGCACGCGUAGCGGAAGCUGUGCGUGGAUCAUCUACAUA
rnacentral:rRNA from 1 species